AUCCCACUUUGGCUCAGGUCAUGAUCUCCUGGUUCCUGGGUUCCAGCCCUGCAUCAGGCUCUGUGCUGACAGCUCAGAGCCUGGAGCCUGCUUCGGAUUCUGUGUCUUUGUCUCUCUCUGCCUCUCCCCAACUCACACUCUGUCUCUCUCAAAAAUAAAUAAACAUUAAAAAAGAAAAAUGAAAAACCCCAGUCCUGGAACAACCCAGAUGGUGGGUCACACUAGAAAAUCAUGGAGCACAUUUAUCUCUUUCACAUUAAAAAAAAAACAAAACAAAACAGAAACAAACAAACAAAAAAAACCUAACCUAUAAGAAUAAAGUGAUUCAGCAGCUGUUGAUAAAGACUCAGCAUUUACCAAGUGCAUCUUCUUGUGGACUAUGGGCUUCACCAUGGUAGCCUUCAUAGAAGCUCUAUGAGGUAAGCACCAUCAUCAUCUCCAUCUGACACAUGAUGAAAGUAAACACAGAAUAUUAAGACAUGGAACUGGAUUUCAAGAUGAGCGGUCUCCAUGGAAGAAGACGCCACAGCAUCCUAUGAAAUUUUGUUUUAAGGUUUAAGGUUACCUUCAUUAUUGUCAAGAACACGCUUCCAUCUCUGGCUCUGCAGCAUGAACACUCUUCCAGUUAAGCCAUCGAGAACAAGAUGCAAACUGCAGUCUUCUUGGAAAAGAUGCGAAGUCAACAGCUGGCCAUUUCUUUCUUCCUCUUCCUAUUUCUUUCUCAUGAAAAUCAGUACGUGGUGUGCAUUAUUCUGCUCUAAAAUCAAAUUUGCUAAUAAACUGUGACUCAAUUCCACA
rnacentral:lncRNA from 1 species